GACAAACCGUGCGAACGUUGUUCGGAAUCACUGGGCUUAAAGGGCGCGUAGGCGGGCGAGCAAGUUCGGGGUGAAAUCUUUCGGCUCAACCGGAAAAGGGCCUCGGAGACUGCUCGUCUGGAGGGAGGUAGGGGCAGGUGGAACUGCUGGUGGAGCGGUGAAAUGCGUUGAUAUCAGCAGGAACGCCGGUGGCGAAAGCGACCUGCUGGACCUCUUCUGACGCUGAGGCGCGAAAGCUAGGGGAGCAAACGGG
rnacentral:rRNA from 1 species